rnacentral:rRNA from 1 species
AGUGAACGCUGGCGGUAGGCCUAACACAUGCGAGUCGAACGGCAGCACAGUAAGAGCUUGCUCUUACGGGUGGCGAGUGGCGGACGGGUGAGGAAUACAUCGGAAUCUACUUUUUCGUGGGGGAUAACGUAGGGAAACUUACGCUAAUACCGCAUACGACCUACGGGUGAAAGCAGGGGAUCUUCGGACCUUGCGCGAUUGAAUGAGCCGAUGUCGGAUUAGCUAGUUGGCGGGGUAAAGGCCCACCAAGGCGACGAUCCGUAGCUGGUCUGAGAGGAUGAUCAGCCAAACUGGAACUGAGACACGGUCCAGACUCCUACGGGAGGCAGCAGUGGGGAAUAUUGGACAAUGGGCGCAAGCCUGAUCCAGCCAUACCGCGUGGGUGAAGAAGGACUUCGGGUUGUAAAGCCCUUUUGUUGGGAAAGAAAAGCAGCAGGUUAAUACCCCGCUGUUCUGACGGUACCCAAAGAAUAAGCACCGGCUAACUUCGUG